rnacentral:rRNA from 2 species
GGGUUGUGAGGUUAAGCGACUAAGCGUACACGGUGGAUGCCCUGGCAGUCAGAGGCGAUGAAGGACGUGCUAAUCUGCGAUAAGCGUCGGUAAGGUGAUAUGAACCGUUAUAACCGGCGAUUUCCGAAUGGGGAAACCCAGUGUGUUUCGACACACUAUCAUUAACUGAAUCCAUAGGUUAAUGAGGCGAACCGGGGGAACUGAAACAUCUAAGUACCCCGAGGAAAAGAAAUCAACCGAGAUUCCCCCAGUAGCGGCGAGCGAACGGGGAGCAGCCCAGAGCCUGAAUCAGUGUGUGUGUUAGUGGAAGCGUCUGGAAAGGCGCGCGAUACAGGGUGACAGCCCCGUACACAAAAAUGCACAUGCUGUGAGCUCGAUGAGUAGGGCGGGACACGUGGUAUCCUGUCUGAAUAUGGGGGGACCAUCCUCCAAGGCUAAAUACUCCUGACUGACCGAUAGUGAACCAGUACCGUGAGGGAAAGGCGAAAAGAACCCCGGCGAGGGGAGUGAAAAAGAACCUGAAACCGUGUACGUACAAGCAGUGGGAGCACGCUUAGGCGUGUGACUGCGUACCUUUUGUAUAAUGGGUCAGCGACUUAUAUUCUGUAGCAAGGUUAACCGAAUAGGGGAGCCGAAGGGAAACCGAGUCUUAACUGGGCGUUAAGUUGCAGGGUAUAGACCCGAAACCCGGUGAUCUAGCCAUGGGCAGGUUGAAGGUUGGGUAACACUAACUGGAGGACCGAACCGACUAAUGUUGAAAAAUUAGCGGAUGACUUGUGGCUGGGGGUGAAAGGCCAAUCAAACCGGGAGAUAGCUGGUUCUCCCCGAAAGCUAUUUAGGUAGCGCCUCGUGAAUUCAUCUCCGGGGGUAGAGCACUGUUUCGGCAAGGGGGUCAUCCCGACUUACCAACCCGAUGCAAACUGCGAAUACCGGAGAAUGUUAUCACGGGAGACACACGGCGGGUGCUAACGUCCGUCGUGAAGAGGGAAACAACCCAGACCGCCAGCUAAGGUCCCAAAGUCAUGGUUAAGUGGGAAACGAUGUGGGAAGGCCCAGACAGCCAGGAUGUUGGCUUAGAAGCAGCCAUCAUUUAAAGAAAGCGUAAUAGCUCACUGGUCGAGUCGGCCUGCGCGGAAGAUGUAACGGGGCUAAACCAUGCACCGAAGCUGCGGCAGCGACGCUUAUGCGUUGUUGGGUAGGGGAGCGUUCUGUAAGCCUGCGAAGGUGUGCUGUGAGGCAUGCUGGAGGUAUCAGAAGUGCGAAUGCUGACAUAAGUAACGAUAAAGCGGGUGAAAAGCCCGCUCGCCGGAAGACCAAGGGUUCCUGUCCAACGUUAAUCGGGGCAGGGUGAGUCGACCCCUAAGGCGAGGCCGAAAGGCGUAGUCGAUGGGAAACAGGUUAAUAUUCCUGUACUUGGUGUUACUGCGAAGGGGGGACGGAGAAGGCUAUGUUGGCCGGGCGACGGUUGUCCCGGUUUAAGCGUGUAGGCUGGUUUUCCAGGCAAAUCCGGAAAAUCAAGGCUGAGGCGUGAUGACGAGGCACUACGGUGCUGAAGCAACAAAUGCCCUGCUUCCAGGAAAAGCCUCUAAGCAUCAGGUAACAUCAAAUCGUACCCCAAACCGACACAGGUGGUCAGGUAGAGAAUACCAAGGCGCUUGAGAGAACUCGGGUGAAGGAACUAGGCAAAAUGGUGCCGUAACUUCGGGAGAAGGCACGCUGAUAUGUAGGUGAAGCGACUUGCUCGUGGAGCUGAAAUCAGUCGAAGAUACCAGCUGGCUGCAACUGUUUAUUAAAAACACAGCACUGUGCAAACACGAAAGUGGACGUAUACGGUGUGACGCCUGCCCGGUGCCGGAAGGUUAAUUGAUGGGGUUAGCGCAAGCGAAGCUCUUGAUCGAAGCCCCGGUAAACGGCGGCCGUAACUAUAACGGUCCUAAGGUAGCGAAAUUCCUUGUCGGGUAAGUUCCGACCUGCACGAAUGGCGUAAUGAUGGCCAGGCUGUCUCCACCCGAGACUCAGUGAAAUUGAACUCGCUGUGAAGAUGCAGUGUACCCGCGGCAAGACGGAAAGACCCCGUGAACCUUUACUAUAGCUUGACACUGAACAUUGAGCCUUGAUGUGUAGGAUAGGUGGGAGGCUUUGAAGUGUGGACGCCAGUCUGCAUGGAGCCGACCUUGAAAUACCACCCUUUAAUGUUUGAUGUUCUAACGUUGACCCGUAAUCCGGGUUGCGGACAGUGUCUGGUGGGUAGUUUGACUGGGGCGGUCUCCUCCUAAAGAGUAACGGAGGAGCACGAAGGUUGGCUAAUCCUGGUCGGACAUCAGGAGGUUAGUGCAAUGGCAUAAGCCAGCUUGACUGCGAGCGUGACGGCGCGAGCAGGUGCGAAAGCAGGUCAUAGUGAUCCGGUGGUUCUGAAUGGAAGGGCCAUCGCUCAACGGAUAAAAGGUACUCCGGGGAUAACAGGCUGAUACCGCCCAAGAGUUCAUAUCGACGGCGGUGUUUGGCACCUCGAUGUCGGCUCAUCACAUCCUGGGGCUGAAGUAGGUCCCAAGGGUAUGGCUGUUCGCCAUUUAAAGUGGUACGCGAGCUGGGUUUAGAACGUCGUGAGACAGUUCGGUCCCUAUCUGCCGUGGGCGCUGGAGAACUGAGGGGGGCUGCUCCUAGUACGAGAGGACCGGAGUGGACGCAUCACUGGUGUUCGGGUUGUCAUGCCAAUGGCACUGCCCGGUAGCUAAAUGCGGAAGAGAUAAGUGCUGAAAGCAUCUAAGCACGAAACUUGCCCCGAGAUGAGUUCUCCCUGACUCCUUGAGAGUCCUGAAGGAACGUUGAAGACGACGACGUUGAUAGGCCGGGUGUGUAAGCGCAGCGAUGCGUUGAGCUAACCGGUACUAAUGAACCGUGAGGCUUAACCUUACAACGCCGAAGGUGUUU